UAAAAUGAUUUUUUUUUUUAAUUUCAGGCAUUGGCACAGUGAAUGGCAGCUGAAAAAUUUUGACCCUUGUUUCUGGAAGUGAAAUGUUAGAUGGUUUGAUGAAGUGCCACAGAGAUUAUCGCUUAAAGAAUGCGUGCAGGCCAACCACCAACACAAGAUAUUAAAAGAGCAAUGAAAAUGAAGAUUUAACUAUAAAGAAAAAUCUGACUAAUAUUAUUACUCAUAACACUUAAUUGUUUCGUAUUAUUGUAAAUUUAUGCGAGUUUUCCUGUAUUCUGUUUAUUUUGCAACUUAUGUUAUUGUAAAUUCAUGUAUGUUUUCAUUCUUGCUCUGUCAUGCAUUUCAUACUAAUUGUUUGUUGUGCAUAUUAAUUAUAUGUGUAUAUUACUUCAUUGAAUUACUGUAUUUGAAUUUUAAUAAACCUUUUUACCAUUCA
rnacentral:lncRNA from 1 species